GGGAUCAUGGCACAUGUUACAAACUCAAACAGACCAGAACGAUGCCAGGUGAGAAGGAAAAGCCCCUCCGUAUUCCCGCCCCCGCCCCCCCAGAAGGGAGUGUGGCCACAGCUGCCUGAUGGACCUUUCAGGAAGGUCUCUGUCCUUCUCUGCACGUGGGCCUCCUGCUCAGCCUCGCUCUCUCAGAUGCGGACGCUCAGAGCACACCUGCUCACGGUAAGGUGAUGUCAGGAGACAAUGUAUCAAUCAUGAGAGCCCGGGUGCAUCCAGGUUCACGGCAGCACAAUUCCAGCAGCCAAGAGGUGGAUGCAACCCAGUGUCCAUUGAUGGAUGAACGGAUCAACAAAUGUGCUAUAGCCACACACUGGAAUACUAUUCAUCCCUGAAAAAGAAUGCAGUACUGUCACAGGCUACAACACGGAUGAACCUUGAGGACAGUAUGCUAAGUGAAAUCAGGCACAAAGGGCACAAAUACUGUAUGAUUCCACUUCUACGAGGGACCUAGAGUAGGCAGAGUCAUAGAGACAGAAAGUAGAAUGGAGGUUGCAGGGGCUUGGGGAGAGGGGGAAACGGGGAGUUAGUGUUUAGUGAGGACAGAGCUUCAGUUUGGGACGAUGAAGACGUUCUGGAGAUGGAUGGUGGUGACGGCUGCACAACAAUGAGAAUGUACCUAAUGCCACCAUACCUGAUGGACACUUAAAAAUGCGCAAAGUGGUACCUUUUACAUAAUGUUUCUCUUAGCACAAUAAAACCAGAGUAAGUGCCUUAAACGGCAGCUCUUAUGGUCACUCGAGCUCCUGGGACAACAUCCUAACAGGAGUUAACAGUAGGCGAGUGCAUGCCAGGCACCCUGCUACGUGUUGUACACAGAAAGUGUUAACUUGGCCAAUCCCAUCACAAUCCCACAACCAGGUGUUAUUAUGACCCCAUGUGACAGGGGAGGAGACCGAGGCACACAGAGGUUAGUGACUUGCUCUCUGUCACACAGAGCAGUGGAGGAGGGCUCACGGGUGGGUGGUCGGAGCCCCCAGCCUGCACUAGGACCACUUGGCUGGGGGUGGGGGAGGGAAGGUGGGAGCACCUUGGGGGGAGACCAGGACGGGGUUCCCUGCAGCAGAGGCAUCUGGGGCUCUCUCUUUCCCAUGCUCUCCUCCUUUUCCCCUCCUCCCCUGGGGCAGGCGGGUGAGAAGCCUGGGCGGCUGGGGGCGCAGCUGCUGGCGGAGGUGACAGCAUGGCAGAGGAUCAGGCUGUGGUGGGCCAAGGUGUCCAGGUAAAGGGGUGAAGGCGCAGAUGUUGCAGAUGCCACUCUCAAAGCCUCUGUCAUCUGCUGAAGAAGCUGGGAGACAAGAGGACACACAUGGUGGGCUGGGCUCAGAAGGAGCAGUGUGUGCGAGUGAGGAGGACCUGGGGUUCUGCUGAGGUGGCCGGGGCCAGCGAUGCUCAGGGUUGUGGCCUUCUAAGAAGAGGAGAGAGCUGUCUCUCCACCACGUGAGGACACAGCAAGAAGGUGGCCAUCUGCAAGCCAGGCAGAGAAUCCUUAUCAGCAACUGCCCUUCCUGACCCCGAUCUUGGACUACCAGCCUCCAGAACUGUGAGAAAUAAACACCUAUAGUUGUAGCCCCCUAAUCUAUGGGAUUUGUUGCAGCAGCCCUGGCUGAGCAAGGAAGGACCUGACCUAGGGGCUACAACAUCUGGGCUCCGGAAGGUUCCAGCACUAACCCCAGCCCUGGCAGGAGGUGGAUCCACGUGCAGAUUCUCUGCCCUGUUUCUGGGAGGGGGGAGAUGAUGGGCGCCCCUCAGUGGAGAGCUGUUUAUGGUACAACUAGCUGAAGGGCCUGAUCCAAGACCACAAAGUUCAUCAGAAGGAGAGAACCUGGCAGAGGGCCAGACCUCCAAACAGGAAAGAAUCGGGUUGCCUUGUGACAGCUGGGCCUGGGUCACCAACCUGGAAGUCUGCAGGAGACUCCAGCAGGGCGCUGGAGGGACCUGUGGCUCCUGGGAGGGGAUGGGGUUGGGGGAGAGGACAGGUGGAUCGUGGGGGGCUGUGCCCCUCAGCCAGGAGAAUGAGAGGUGAGCCACAGGGCUCUGAGGUCUGAGAAAUCCAUGAGGAGGAGAUGAGAGUCCCAGGGCACGCUGGCUGGUCUCUGGGGACUUGGGCAUCAGCCCCUCUUCUAGCAUCCCCUCUGGGAUCUGUGGAUCCCUGAGCUCUGGAAAGCCGCCCAUCCUCCCGAGCCGGGGACCCGCAGGGUUAGCCCAGACUGCUCUGGGCACGGGUGGGGGUGCAGGGUCAGAGCUGGGGGCAGAAGUGAGGUGCCGAAUGCUGGGUCGACCCCCGCAGAUCCCGCGGUGGGCGAGGCCGCCCCUGCCUCCCUCUUCCAGGAGCAGACCACGAAGAGUCUGGGGGCAGCAGAGGAGGAGAGACCGGAAGGGAACGGCCGGGGGGGGCUACAGGGCACGCUGGGGUCAGCACCGACCGCUGGAGGGAGGGACGAGUGAUUCCUUCUAGGGGGACAACAAGCGGCCGUGGAAAGCGGUGCCCGUUGCGGCGGGGGU
rnacentral:lncRNA from 1 species